rnacentral:rRNA from 1 species
UACAGAGGGUGCGAGCGUUGUUCGGAAUUACUGGGCGUAAAGCGUGCGCAGGCGGUUGUGCAAGACCGAUGUGAAAUCCCCGGGCUUAACCUGGGAAUGGCAUUGGUGACUGCACGGCUAGAGUGUGUCAGAGGGGGGUAGAAUUCCACGUGUAGCAGUGAAAUGCGUAGAGAUGUGGAGGAAUACCGAUGGCGAAGGCAGCCCCCUGGGAUAACACUGACGCUCAUGCACGAAAGCGUGGGGAGCAAACAGG